rnacentral:rRNA from 1 species
GAUGAACGCUGGCGGCGUGCUUAACACAUGCAAGUCGAACGGAACUACUCCAAUGCGAGUCCUCGGAAAGGAUUAGGUCUAGUUUAGUGGCGGACGGGUGAGUAACGCGUGGGUAACCUGCCCUAUACAAGGGGAUAACAGUUGGAAACGACUGUUAAUACCGCAUAAGCGCACAGGAGCGCAUGCUCCGGUGUGAAAAACUCCGGUGGUAUAGGAUGGCCCCGCGUCUUAUUAGCUGGGGGGAGGGGUAACGCCACACUGAGGAGACGAUAAGGAGCCGGCGAGAGAGGGUGAACGGACACAGUGGGACUGAGACACGGCAGAAACUCAUACGGGAGGGAGGAGGGGGGAAUAUUGCAAAAGGGGGGAGACUGUGAUGCAGCGACGGCGCGUGAGCGAAGGAGUAUCGCGGUAUGUAAAGCUCUAUCAGCAGAGGAGAAAAUGACGGUACCUGACUAAGAAGCCCCGGCUAACUACGUG